AAGUCGUAACAAGGUUUCCGUAGGUGAACCUGCGGAAGGAUCAUUAACACGUAUCCAAACGUUAAACCCCCCUGUGAACCUUCAGUCGUACUCGUACGUCCGUUAGAAAAAGCAGCAAUCCCUGGUAAAUCAUCGCCGAACAGUUUUCGAUUCAGGGACGUCUGCAAGGAGCGUGCAUGUUGUGCGUGUAAGUGGCCUGGCAUCCCCAAGCAGUUAGUGUCUGAAAGUGUCACUAACGUUAGUGUCUGAAAGUGUCACUAACAUGUGUAAGGAUGACGAAGUCACGAUCGUUGGAGGCCCACACGACCGACGACCGGGUCACCGGGUGCAUAUCUAUGGUGAUCCUGCGGGAAGUCAACUGUUAACAAUGGAUAUCUUGGUUCUC
rnacentral:misc_RNA from 1 species